GCAAGAUUAAAACUCAAAGGAAUAGACGGGGACCCGCACAAGCGGUGGAGCAUGUGGUUUAAUUCGACGAUACGCGAAGAACCUUACCUGGCCUUGACAUAGAAAGAACUUACUAGAGAUAGUUUGGUGCUAGCUUGCUAGAACUUUCAUACAGGUGCUGCACGGCUGUCGUCAGCUCGUGUCGUGAGAUGUUGGGUUAAGUCCCGCAACGAGCGCAACCCUCGUGUUUAGUUACUAACAGUUCGGCUGAGGACUCUAGACAGACUGCCUGGGUAACCAGGAGGAAGGUGAGGACGACGUCAAGUCAUCAUGGCCCUUACGGCCAGGGCUACACACGUGCUACAAUGGGGUAUACAAAGAGCCGCAAUACCGUGAGGUGGAGCAAAUCUCAUAAAAUAUCUCCCAGUUCGGAUUGAAGUCUGCAACUCGACUUCAUGAAGUUGGAAUCGCUAGUAAUCGUGAAUCAGCAAUGUCACGGUGAAUACGUUCCCGGGUCUUGUACUCACCGCCC
rnacentral:rRNA from 1 species